CCUGGACAUUGGAGUGGGUCGUGGUACUUCUAAAUACCUUUUGAGAGGACUGUUCUUGCUUGAUGCUUGGGUCAAAGCAGCACACUUUGUCUAUGGGUGACUAAAUUGAACCCCGUCUUUGAUGAAGAUCAAAACUACAAUGUAUUUUCUCUGACUCUCUCUCCAGUUAAGUAUGAGUCUGGCCUAUAGGAGGGCAUUGGGGUUAGAAAACAAACCCAGAGGACAACAUUGCCAUGCCUAGAUCUAUGAGGUUUAACAAUAACAGCAGCAGCAGCAACAACAACAACAACAACAACAACAAAGACUGAGGUCUCUGGACCCAGUUGCCUGCAGGUGGGAGCUCUCCUGCCCAUUUGCAAGGGUUCCUGGUGUGUGCAUGCGUGGGUUUGGCUUGUUUGUGUAUGUUCAUGAAAUUGACUGUGUUGUAAUUUACUCAGUAAGGGCAGAAGUAUCCCCCAAGCCUAGGGUGUUAUAGCGGUGGUGAUAGUGAGAAAGACUCUGCUGGACACACUUGCCCUCACCUGGUCACAGCUCUCCCAGUUUAAACUCCAGAUCCUCAAUUUCUCAUUUUUUCAGUUUAGAAAAGUCAAAUGUUAGUGGGAGCUUCAGGAAGUUCACCCAAAAACUCCAGAAUCCCAUUUUGGCCACACAGCCAGCAACCCAAGCAGGUGGAUGGGCCCAGUUAGUGAGCCUCUAGACAGAGGAUCCUUGCCUGGGGAUAAGGUGUGGGUAGGGGGGGUCCUCCUCACACCUCUAGGGGGGUGUCCCCUUAUUCCAGCCUCCAGGAGGUAUGGGGGGGAUAUGUGAGGUUGGGAGGGGCCUGCACAUCAUCUGGCUGCAACUUUUAUGGUUCCUCAUUGCCCUUCAUUCGGAAAUGAACUGCCUUUGAUCUUCUUCUCAGGUUGUAAACGGAAUUGCCCGUCAUUAAAUAUGGGGGGGGGGGCCAUCUGUUUGGUCUCCCAGCAUUUUUCCUCACAGCUGUUUUUCUCUCUCUUUUUAGCAUUCACUUUUUCCAAAAGGACUUUUAUUACACCCCCUUCACACCCAGACACCUCUCCCUCCUCCCUUUGCUUUGGAAAAUAUCUAUAUAUGUGUUUGAUCACAAACUAAAGGCUGUGGGGGCAAGGGAGGAACCUAUUUGGGGUUUUGUAUUUUUUCUUAAAAAAAAAAAAGUCAUGGGGGGAGGGGAGGGGCCGAGGGCACCCAGAAAGGCCUGAUUCUGACUUCGAGGCAGCCUCGGGAUGACCCUUCCUUCUUUUGUGCUUAGCUAAUGUUUACAUCUAAUAAUUCAUGCGCCACCGAAAGUCGCGCGGCAGCCACGAGGUUCGAGUCCCUUUGCACAACAGCUGCCUUUUUAAAAAAUCUUAUUUUAUUUUUUGAAUAGAAAGUUGAAACCCCUUGUAAUCCCAAGAACGGACCCACAGUGACUUUUCUGCUCCCAGAUCUCAAAAUUAAAACAAAACGAAAUAAAAAUGAAAACAUUCAGAUCACACCCAAAAGAAGAACGCACGGAAAGUAAGAGAACUGGAAAUUUCCUGGGCCAAGAAGACCUGUCUGUCUUCUGUAUAUACCCUGUAGAUCCGAAUUUGUGUAAGGAAUUUUGUGGUCACAAAUUCGUAUCUAGGGGAAUAUGUAGUUGACAUAAACACUCCGCUCAUAUUCUUUCCCAGAAGAAAAAUAGAUUAUUUUCUAAAUGAGGACAAUCCAGUGACUGCCUUCAAGAAGACUCCUUUUCUUUUCCUCCCUCAACCAAUGAGGGAGAAAUCUCAUCUACCUGAGGUGUCCCCAUGCACACCCCUGGAAGCUUGGGUCCUUGUUCACUCAAGAGAUUAAUGUUACUGGUGUUUUAAAAUUUAUCUUUAAGCCCCAACCUACCUAUUCUUAUUCUGGGUCCAGGGGGCUUUAUUGGAAAUCAUGAGGAGGAAAAAAAGAUUGCUGAAGGCUGCAGUGUGCAAAGGCAAAGGAAAUUUGCUUUUUAAAAGGAUGCGAAGAUUGCUGUUUCGUUGAAUUCAAGACAAGAUGCCCUGAAAACAUAAGGUUGCCAUGGGUGUUCUUGUGCGUGUGAUGUUGGUGGGGGCGUCACAGCUAGGGCUCCUUUACUUAGUAUUCAAGGUUGUGAAAUUUCUUUCUGCCACACUGACAGAGGCGGCGGCUUUAGCGGCAAUUAGAACUCUUGGUUAGCAUUGCUUCGACGAAUCUGGAAUUAGCAAAUUACUAUUCAAUUGGUUUUAGGAACUUGCGGGUUUGGUUUGGUUUCAUUGUAUCUUCUGUCUUUAGUGGAGGGAGUCCAGCCGUUCCUCUGACCUUGGGCCUUGUGGGUUAAAGGGAGGGAGUGUUGAGGAGGACAGACUGACGGACACAGCCGAUGCUCAUAGUGCAGCUAAAUGCGAUUUGGAAGGCGAAGUCUCCCCGAAUUAGUGCGUGAAUUUCCUAUCGAUCUGCUCGCGGUUCCAUUCAUCUCUGACAAGUCCCUCUGCGCACCCGCCUUCUAGCUCCCGACGCCUCCUCACUCACCUCCUACCCCUCCCCAUCUGGCUGCACUGAGAAGCCCCAAGCUCAGCGCCCCUAUGACCUAGUGGGUA